GAAAUGCGUAGAGAUCUGGAGGAAUACCGAUGGCGAAGGCAGCCAUCUGGCCUAAUACUGACGCUGAGGUACGAAAGCAUGGGGAGCAAACAGGAUUAGAUACCCUGGUAGUCCAUGCCGUAAACGAUGUCUACUAGCCGUUGGGGCCUUUGAGGCUUUAGUGGCGCAGCUAACGCGAUAAGUAGACCGCCUGGGGAGUACGGUCGCAAGACUAAAACUCAAAUGAAUUGACGGGGGCCCGCACAAGCGGUGGAGCAUGUGGUUUAAUUCGAUGCAACGCGAAGAACCUUACCUGGCCUUGACAUACUAAGAACUUUCCAGAGAUGGAUUGGUGCCUUCGGGAACUUAGAUACAGGUGCUGCAUGGCUGUCGUCAGCUCGUGUCGUGAGAUGUUGGGUUAAGUCCCGCAACGAGCGCAACCCUUUUCCUUAUUUGCCAUCGGGUAAUGCCGGGAACUUUAAGGAUACUGCCAGUGACAAACUGGAGGAAGGCGGGGACGACGUCAAGUCAUCAUGGCCCUUACGGCCAGGGCUACACACGUGCUACAAUGGUCGGUACAAAGGGUUGCUACCUCGCGAGAGGAUGCUAAUCUCAAAAAGCCGAUCGUAGUCCGGAUCGCAGUCUGCAACUCGACUGCGUGAAGUCGGAAUCGCUAGUAAUCGCGGAUCAGAAUGCCGCGGUGAAUACGUUCCCGGGCCUUGUACACACCGCCCGUCACACCAUGGGAGUUUGUUGCACCAGAAGUAGGUAGUCUAACCGCAAGGAGGACGCUUACCACGGUGUGGCCGAUGACUGGGGUGAAGUCGUAACAAGGUAGCCGUAGGGGAACCUGCGGCUGGUUCACCUCCUU
rnacentral:rRNA from 1 species